rnacentral:rRNA from 1 species
AACCCGGUGAUCUAGCCAUGGGCAGGUUGAAGGUUGGGUAACACUAACUGGAGGACCGAACCGACUAAUGUUGAAAAAUUAGCGGAUGACCUGUGGCUGGGGGUGAAAGGCCAAUCAAACCGGGAGAUAGCUGGUUCUCCCCGAAAGCUAUUUAGGUAGCGCCUCGUGAACUCAUCUCCGGGGGUAGAGCACUGUUUCGGCUAGGGGGCCAUCCCGGCUUACCAACCCGAUGCAAACUGCGAAUACCGGAGAAUGUUAUCACGGGAGACACACGGCGGGUGCUAACGUCCGUCGUGAAGAGGGAAACAACCCAGACCGCCAGCUAAGGUCCCAAAGUCAUGGUUAAGUGGGAAACGAUGUGGGAAGGCCCAGACAGCCAGGAUGUUGGCUUAGAAGCAGCCAUCAUUUAAAGAAAGCGUAAUAGCUCACUGGUCGAGUCGGCCUGCGCGGAAGAUGUAACGGGGCUAAACCAUGCACCGAAGCUGCGGCAGCGACACUUUAGUGUUGUUGGGUAGGGGAGCGUUCUGUAAGCCGUUGAAGGUGUCCUGUGAGGGGUGCUGGAGGUAUCAGAAGUGCGAAUGCUGACAUAAGUAACGAUAAAGCGGGUGAAAAGCCCGCUCGCCGGAAGACCAAGGGUUCCUGUCCAACGUUAAUCGGGGCAGGGUGAGUCGACCCCUAAGGCGAGGCCGAAAGGCGUAGUCGAUGGGAAACGGGUUAAUAUUCCCGUACUUGGUGUUACUGCGAAGGGGGGACGGAGAAGGCUAUGUUGGCCGGGCGACGGUUGUCCCGGUUUAAGCGUGUAGGUGUGUGUUCCAGGUAAAUCCGGUUCACUUUAACACUGAGGCGUGAUGACGAGGCACCACGGUGCUGAAGCAACAAAUGCCCUGCUUCCAGGAAAAGCCUCUAAGCAUCAGGUAACAUCAAAUCGUACCCCAAACCGACACAGGUGGUCAGGUAGAGAAUACCAAGGCGCUUGAGAGAACUCGGGUGAAGGAACUAGGCAAAAUGGUGCCGUAACUUCGGGAGAAGGCACGCUGACACGUAGGUGAAGUGAUUUACUCAUGGAGCUGAAGUCAGUCGAAGAUACCAGCUGGCUGCAACUGUUUAUUAAAAACACAGCACUGUGCAAACACGAAAGUGGACGUAUACGGUGUGACGCCUGCCCGGUGCCGGAAGGUUAAUUGAUGGGGUCAGCGCAAGCGAAGCUCCUGAUCGAAGCCCCGGUAAACGGCGGCCGUAACUAUAACGGUCCUAAGGUAGCGAAAUUCCUUGUCGGGUAAGUUCCGACCUGCACGAAUGGCGUAAUGAUGGCCAGGCUGUCUCCACCCGAGACUCAGUGAAAUUGAACUCGCUGUGAAGAUGCAGUGUACCCGCGGCAAGACGGAAAGACCCCGUGAACCUUUACUAUAGCUUGACACUGAACAUUGAGCCUUGAUGUGUAGGAUAGGUGGGAGGCUUUGAAGCGUGGACGCCAGUCUGCGUGGAGCCGACCUUGAAAUACCACCCUUUAAUGUUUGAUGUUCUAACGUGGACCCGUAAUCCGGGUUGCGGACAGUGUCUGGUGGGUAGUUUGACUGGGGCGGUCUCCUCCUAAAGAGUAACGGAGGAGCACGAAGGUUGGCUAAUCCUGGUCGGACAUCAGGAGGUUAGUGCAAUGGCAUAAGCCAGCUUGACUGCGAGCGUGACGGCGCGAGCAGGUGCGAAAGCAGGUCAUAGUGAUCCGGUGGUUCUGAAUGGAAGGGCCAUCGCUCAACGGAUAAAAGGUACUCCGGGGAUAACAGGCUGAUACCGCCCAAGAGUUCAUAUCGACGGCGGUGUUUGGCACCUCGAUGUCGGCUCAUCACAUCCUGGGGCUGAAGUAGGUCCCAAGGGUAUGGCUGUUCGCCAUUUAAAGUGGUACGCGAGCUGGGUUUAGAACGUCGUG